rnacentral:rRNA from 1 species
GGACGCAAGUCUGAUGGAGCAACGCCGCGUGAGUGAAGAAGGGUUUCGGCUCGUAAAGCUCUGUUGUUAAAGAAGAACGUGGGUGAGAGUAACUGUUCACCCAGUGACGGUAUUUAACCAGAAAGCCACGGCUAACUACGUGCCAGCAGCCGCGGUAAUACGUAGGUGGCAAGCGUUAUCCGGAUUUAUUGGGCGUAAAGCGAGCGCAGGCGGUCUUUUAAGUCUAAUGUGAAAGCCUUCGGCUCAACCGAAGAAGUGCAUUGGAAACUGGGAGACUUGAGUGCAGAAGAGGACAGUGGAACUCCAUGUGUAGCGGUGAAAUGCGUAGAUAUAUGGAAGAACACCAGUGGCGAAGGCGGCUGUCUGGUCUGCAACUGACGCUGAGGCUCGAAAGCAUGGGUAGCGAACAGGAUUAGAUACCCUGGUAGUCCAUGCCGUAAACGAUGAAUGCUAAGUGUUGGAGGGUUUCCGCCCUUCAGUGCUGCAGCUAACGCAUUAAGCAUUCCGCCUGGGGAGUACGACCGCAAGGUUGAAACUCAAAAGAAUUGACGGGGGCCCGCACAAGCGGUGGAGCAUGUGGUUUAAUUCGAAGCUACGCGAAGAACCUUACCAGGUCUUGAC